AGGGCCACUCCUGCUACAGGUUCCCGGAGACGGGAUCAAAAGGGAAUUCGGAAGGGAAGAUAUUUCUAAUCCGAAGCUGCCCCCGCAACUGUGAUUGGUGAGCGGGCCUGUCAAAUCCCACUGGACGAAAGUCUGGGAAGGGGACAGGCCUAGCGAUGAUCCAAGAGCCAGGAGACCUGCCCGUAGCUGUCGACCUAU
rnacentral:ncRNA from 2 species